rnacentral:rRNA from 1 species
UGGGGAUACCACUUGGGAAACAGGUGCUAAUACCGGAUAAGAAAGCAGAUCGCAUGAUCAGCUUUUAAAAGGCGGCGUAAAGCUGUCGCUAUGGGGAUGGCCCCCGCGGUGCAUUAGCUAGUUGGUAAGGUAAAGGCUUACCAAGGCGAUGAUGCAUAGCCCGAGUUGAGAGACUGAUCGGCCACAUUGGGGACUGAGACACGGCCCAAAAACUCCUACGGGGAGGCAGCAGUAGGGAAUCUUCCACAAUGGACGCAAGUCUGAUGGAGCAACGCCGCGUGAGUGAAGAAGGUUUUCGGAUCGUAAAAGCUCUGUUGUUGGUGAAGAAGGAUAGAGGUAGUAACUGGCCUUUAUUUGACGGUAAUCAACCAGAAAGUCACGGCUAACUACGUGCCAGCAGCCGCGGGUAAAU